CCCCUGUAGGCAGCAGCCACUAGCUACACAGGAACCAUAUCUGUAUAUCAGAGAUGUACAAUAAAGCCUACUGAAUACUACAGACAGCCAUCUUUUCAGGCAUACCUUAACCAGAAGUUCAUGAAAACAUUGCACAGAUGGAGAUACCUCCAGAAGACUCCUUCACUGAGCUGUGGGAGUGUCAAUUUAGGAAAUUGGGAGUAUCAUGCAGGAGGGGUGCAAGGGAAGGAUAUAAGAGUGAUUUCUUUGUGAAGCUGCCAGAAGCUUCCCCAUGUCCAACAGCCCCAAUGCCAGCUGGCUCCAACACACACCCACCUCUGGCCAAU
rnacentral:lncRNA from 1 species